rnacentral:lncRNA from 1 species
CACUGGUCCAAUGCGUUCUAAUACCUUAUAAGGCCCAAAAAACCGAGGAGAUAGCUUCAUGGAAGAUCGGACCUUUAUGGAAGUUUUCUUAUAGGGUUGAAGACGAAGGAAAACCUAAUCACCUACAGUAAAUUCUCGUUCACUUCGGUGUUUAUCAGCUUGUUGUUUCAUUCUUGCUUGUGCGGCUGUGAGGUUAUCCUUUAAAAGCUGAAU